GACCGCUCAGGUGGCCUAGUGGUUAGAGCUUCCCCCCUCAGAUGUGGGAGCUCGCGGGUUCAAACCCCGGUCGAGUCA